rnacentral:rRNA from 1 species
UACGUAGGGUGCAAGCGUUGUCCGGAAUUAUUGGGCGUAAAGAGCUCGUAGGCGGUUUGUCGCGUCGAAUGUGAAAACCCGGGGCUCAACCCCGGGCCUGCAUUCGAUACGGGCAGACUAGAGUUCGGUAGGGGAGUCUGGAAUUCCUGGUGUAGCGGUGAAAUGCGCAGAUAUCAGGAGGAACACCGAUGGCGAAGGCAGAUCUCUGGGCCGUAACUGACGCUGAGGAGCGAAAGCGUGGGGAGCGAACAGG